rnacentral:rRNA from 1 species
GUCGAAGCUGACGCGUUAAGUUCGCCGCCUGAGGAGUACGGUCGCAAGAGCUGAUACUCAAAGGAAUUGACGGGUGCCCGCACAAGCGGUGGAGCAUGUGGAUCAAUUCGACACGACCCGAACAACAUCACGUGGGCUCGAACGGCGUAGGAUCAUCUGGGGAAACAGAGACUUCACGCAAGAGACCGGAGUAGAGGUGCUGCAUGGCUGUCGUCAGCUCGUGUCGUGAGAUGUUGGGUUAAGUCCCGCAACGAGCGCAACCCUUGUCCUGUGUUGCCACUACCUUAAGGGAAGCACUCUCAGGAGACCGCCAGCGAUAAGUUGGAGGAAGGUGGGGAUGAUGUCAAGUCAUCAUGGCCUUUAUGUCCAGGGCUACACACGUGCUACAA